AAAAAUAUAUAUAUAUUAAAAAAAUUUGAGACAAAGAGCUCUCUCUCAGAGAAGAAAGAGGCUGCUGUUUGUUCAUGCGUUUUGUUCCGUGAACAAAGUUUUUUCUCAAAGCAAAAAAAAAACACAGAAGAAAAAAAAAAACAUUUCGCCUCUUCUCUUCUUCUUCUUCGACCAGUGUCUUCUCUCUCGAGCCAUCGCAAAAACCCUAAUUUUGCUUUGAUUUUUGUCUUCUUACAAACCCUAAUUGUUUCCUCCACUCGCUUCUCUUUCCAUCGUUGCUUCUUGUUCUGGGUUUUUUUUUUUUUUUGGGUUUGGUUAUUUUUCUCCCUUCUUGGGGAAGAAGCCAUUGUUUCGUUGUUUUAGGGAUUGAAUCUAUAAAACUCUGUUUGGGGUUGGGUAUGGUGUGUUCUUUUCGUUGAGCCAGUUUCGAUUUUAUUCUUGUUUCUGGGGAAAAUUUUGCCGUUGUUGUGUUGAAUUGUAGGGCGUAGGGUUGAUUAGUAUCGGUAGUGAUUGCUUAGGUGGUUAGGUUAGUGCCAUCACUGUGAAUUCAAGCUAGUACCUUUAUUGGUGGGUUUGGAUGAUGAUGAUGAUGAUGAUGAUGAUGAUCUUCUAGGUUUGGUUUGGAGUAUGUUUAAGCCAUCUGUGGGAGAGACGGAUGUGUAGAGGGUUUUCUUGUUGUUGCUUUGUGGUUCUGCAAAGAUUUAGCUUUGAGACGAUUCUUUUGGUUUUGGGUUUGGGUUUGGGUUUUUGUUCCCCUGCCCUUUGUGGUGGUAGGUGAUUAGAUGCUAGAGAAGAAUUAGAGAGGGCUAGAGCUUGUGUGGAGAGUGAGAUAGGUCUGAGAAUUGGAUUAAUCUUUCUUUUAUCUGAUGAAGUG
rnacentral:lncRNA from 1 species